UACGUAGGGGGCGAGCGUUGUCCGGAGUUACUGGGCGUAGAGGGCAUGCAGGCGGUCAGGCGCGUUUUGUGUGACAGCGGAUGGCUUAACUGUCCGAGGAUACGAGAUACGGCGUGACUUGAGAGCGCGAGAGGGACACGGAAUUCCGGGUGGAGUGGUGAAAUGCGUAGAGAUCCGGAGGAACACCGAAGGCGAAGGCAGUGUCCUGGCGCGUAUCUGACGCUGAGGUGCGAAAGCCAGGGGAGCGAACGGG
rnacentral:rRNA from 1 species